GGCAGGCCUAACACAUGCAAGUCCGAGGGGUAGAGGAAGCUUGCUUCCUUGAGACCGGCGCACGGGUGCGUAACGCGUAUGCAAUCUACCUUGUACAGAGGGAUAGCCCAGAGAAAUUUGGAUUAAUACCUCAUAGUGUUAUCGAAUCGCAUGGUUUGAUAACUAAAGUUCCAACGGUACAAGAUGAGCAUGCGUCCCAUUAGCUAGUUGGUGUGGUAACGGCAUACCAAGGCAAUGAUGGGUAGGGGUCCUGAGAGGGAGAUCCCCCACACUGGUACUGAGACACGGACCAGACUCCUACGGGAGGCAGCAGUGAGGAAUAUUGGACAAUGGGCGCAAGCCUGAUCCAGCCAUGCCGCGUGCAGGAUGACGGUCCUAUGGAUUGUAAACUGCUUUUAUACAGGAAGAAACCCUACCACGUGUGGUAGAUUGACGGUACUGUAGGAAUAAGGAUCGGCUAACUCCGUGCCAGCAGCCGCGGUAAUACGGAGGAUCCAAGCGUUAUCCGGAAUCAUUGGGUUUAAAGGGUCCGU
rnacentral:rRNA from 1 species